GAAAUGCAGGGCCAGGCCUUUCGCCUCCACAGGGGCUGCCUCUGCGGGGCCACCCCAGCUCUGUGGUGGCUGGUGGCACAGUCAUGUGUCACGUGGGCUCAGGUUUCCUGCAGAUACCUGCAAGUCUGUUUUCCCUGAACACCAUCUGAUCUCGUGGUAAGGGAGGGCACCCGGGAGCUGAAGCUGAGGGUGGCCAUCGCUCCUGCGUGUCAGCUGGUUGCUCUGGCAGUGGAAUGGGGAAUGGGCCGGGUGGAAACAGCGGGCAGGGAGCAGCAGGGCAAUACCUGGAGAGAGCAAGGACGCUCCUGCUGCCAGGUGGCGAGGACGUGGCGCUGGCAAAGGGGCUUGAGGUGGAGGAAUGAGGACAUCAACGGAAAUUUGCAAAGUAAGAUCUCAGAGAAUUGGCAGCCACACCCUUGUUUUCAUAAGUACCCUUUACAUUCACCUCCCUAACAGAAAUGCCUCUGAAUCCACCUCCUUCCACAAGCACCGCAGAAGCUGCAGCGGGGCCCAGCACCUCUCACGCUCCCUGAGGACCUGGAGGCCUGAGGUUCUGCACGUGCAGCAGCUUCCGAGGCUACUGCCGCGGGCCCACCCCACGCACGCUGAGCGCAAGCUGGAGCUCACCAUGAGCGGUCUCACUUGCAUUCGUGCUUGAUUCAAAACCCAGUUUGUAAAUUCUCCGAAGGCAGAGGUGGUCUCCUUUUCUUCUUUAAAUAAAGUGCUGAAUACACACCA